rnacentral:lncRNA from 1 species
UAUCAAAAGCGCCGGUCAGGGAAAUGGCAUCGGGGAAGUAGAAGGUGGAGGUGGCGGGAGAUGAAAGCUUGAAAGGAUGCAGGCCACCAAACUCUCCCAGUGGCAACCCAAGAGACAGGGUACACCAUGCCUUGAAGGCCUCGAUGUCAGGCAUUCGGAGGUGACAGCUCCGUGUCGCUCAUACCUGGCUCUCAGCAGCGCUGUUUUGAGGCAGCCUUUUACAGAGUGUUGAUUCCUGCCAUGCAGGCUCUUUAGAUCAGAAGAGGCCUUCACACAGGGAAGCCACAGCGGGUGGCAGACAAAGCCAUACCGUAGCUGAAUCAUUAUGGAUGGGCACAGAAAGUCCCAGGCUUUGGCUAGCAACCAGAGGCCUCUGCCACUGCUAAGCACCAGGCCUCACUGAAGCACAGACGGAAAGAACAAGUCACUAGCGAGGCUAACAGCAGUCCAUGGCUACCAUGCGCACCCUCCACCAUCACUGGGUUAAGCCUGUGUUCAUAUAUACAAACCGUGUGCAUGCACACGGCACCAUUACAUAACUCCCUCCUCCUUCCUACACGUUUACUCAGACAACCUUGGUGCCCACACAAGUACCCUCUCCAUGCAAGGCUCUCGUUUGCACAGCCAGGUGCAGCUCACACCUGCUCCCAGCUCCCGUCUGCAUCCUCUGACACUAACAUGGUUGUCCAAGGACUGGAUAUAAAGGCCACCGCUUUAUCAUCAGAGAGCGAUCUAUUGUCCUGGGUUCUGUUCUGCCUAGCUUCGCGGUACUUCCCAAGCCCAUGCUAACUCUCUGGAGCCCAAGAGCCCUUAUCUAGCCAAAGCCUAAUGGGUCUGAGCUUGGGAGCUAGGUAUACCUUUGACCACUGGGCUGUAGCAGAGCUGUGUCUGCUCAGCACAUUUCCAAGAAAUUCCAAGGCGGCAGCCCUGUUAUAGUCUCAGCCACCAAACUGUCACCCUCAUCAGGCUGAGUCCUUGGGGCCCGGGGAGGGGCUGCAGGGCUGUUUUCUAUUAAAAUGGAGAGUUUGACCCUCUGACAGGCUCUGAGCCCCAACCAUCACCCCCUUCUUUAUUCAAUUGCAAGAGGCAAGAAAGAAUACUUACUGGGUCAUGUGACUAAAUUGUCCAAGUGAUAAGUCAGGCUUCAUUUGUGGCUAGAUCCAGGAAGUCCAAGGGCAUGGAUUGAUAUACUGUCCCUCUGGACUCUGACCACCACACUGUCUCCAUUCUCCCAUUGGUAAAAUGACGAUAAAUGUCCCAUGUCUGACUUGGUUGGUUCCUGACCCAGAAUGAAGAGAUGCUCUCUCUUCCAGAAAGCAAGUAUCAGAUCUCACAGGACUCUGACUGGACUGGACAGGACUCUGCUGGAGCCUCUAAGUGGCUGUGGUUGGCGGCAGAGCAAGGGAGAGAACAUGUAACAACAUACGGUUCUAUUCUGACAGAAAACAGCCCUUUCCCUGGUGUUACACAUGAGCUUGAUGACAGUUAAGUGCUGAGUCUCAGGCCUGGGACCCUGUGCCCAGGCCGCAUCCUUAACUGGAUCUCUCUCCUUUAUGAGCCCAAGUUCAUAGGUUAUACAAGGGACCUUAGGGCUAUUGAAAGUGAAGGUCCUCCGGCCUGCUGAGACAAAAGAAGUUCUUGAAUAGCCGUUGUCCAACCUCCGCACUAAUCCCCGUUGCUUCCCUGCAGCUAAGUGCUUGGGCAUCAGUGAGAGCAGGUUCUCUCUGAGCGCAUCACUCUCUUGAGGGCCCAGAGAGUAUAACCAGGCUUCAGCCGGCCAAAUGUAGAGGCAGGCAUCAGGCCAGGAAGCUGCCGUGGAGAAGCAGGACAGGUUCAAACAUGUGAGGCCGGAGAGGGGACUUCAGCAACCAUACGCAGCGUUUUCACUCUCCUUCCCAAUCAUGGCUUCCCUUUGAGAACUAGAAGUGGGUGGCUCUUAGGCCCAAUGGGUGCUGGGGACUAAGGUGUCUAGAUCUGGGGAAAUGGUUCACUUACUAAGAAAUCCAAAGCAAACAGAAGAAUCCCAUGAGAAGGGGGAAACUGAGUCUGCCAGUUUUCGAGGUCUGGGAGAGUGGAAAAGGAGGCCACUCCCGCCUUCUCUUCAAGGAACUAAUCUGCCCACAGCCAAGGGAUUAAAGAAAGAGAUAGGAAGACAAACACGGUGAUUAGUGUCUUUAAGAUGCCCAAGUGCGUGUUAGCACUCAGGAGAUGGAGGCCAGAGAAUCAGAGCAAAACCAGGCUCAGCUCCAUACUGGGUUUGAGCCAGCCUGAGUGGCAUGAGCCUCUGCCUCCAAAAAUCAGGGAGAGUGGAGACUCUGGCUCCCACGGACACACUUCGUGGUCAAGUGUCUUAGUCAGGGUUUCCAUUGCUGUGCUGAAGCACCAUGGCCAGAAAGCAACGUAGACAGCAGAGGGUUUAUUUCGCUUGCUCUUCCACCUCGCUCUUCACAGCUCAAGGAAGUCAGGACACAGGGCAGGAUCCUGGAGGCAGGAGCUGAUGCAGAGGCCAUGGAGGUGUGCUGCUUACUGGCUUGUUUCCCCUGGCUUGCUCAGCUUGCUUUCUCAUAGAGCCCAGGAUUACCAGGCCAAGGAUGGCACCACCCACAAUGGGCCCUCCUUCAUUGAUCACUAAUUGAGAAACUGCCUUACAGUUGGAUCUCAUGGAGGCAUUUCCUUAUCUGAGGCUCCUUCCUCUCUGAUGACUCUAGCUUCUGUCAAGUUGACACACAAAACCAGCCCGAAUCGCCAAGGACCUAAAGUCCUGCAUCUCCCCAUCUAGAAGCCCCCCACCCCUGUUCUCAACGACCAAGUUUCACAAUAUUGGACAGGUAUGACUUUGAGUAUCAGCUAGACUUGGGAUGGUGGACCACAGGACUCCCCUCCCAUGCAAAGAUGCUUGUAUCGUAAUCUCAGAACCUGUGAACCUGCUGCCUUUCUUACUGGUGGUCAGAACUGUCAGGGUUGCAGCAAGUAUUUCUAGGUUCUUGGCCUUUUACCC